rnacentral:rRNA from 1 species
GAGUUCCGCGCCGCAGCUAACGCAUUAAGUGCCCCGCCUGGGGAGUACGGCCGCAAGGCUAAAACUCAAAGGAAUUGACGGGGGCCCGCACAAGCGGCGGAGCAUGCGGAUUAAUUCGAUGCAACGCGAAGAACCUUACCAAGGCUUGACAUACACUGGAAUGUGCCAGAGAUGGUUCAGCCCUUUUGGGCUGGUGUACAGGUGGUGCAUGGUUGUCGUCAGCUCGUGUCGUGAGAUGUUGGGUUAAGUCCCGCAACGAGCGCAACCCUCGUUCUAUGUUGCCAGCACGUGAUGGUGGGAACUCAUAGGAGACUGCCGGGGUCAACUCGGAGGAAGGUGGGGAUGACGUCAAAUCAUCAUGCCCUUUAUGUCUUGGGCUUCACGCAUGCUACAAUGGUCGGUACAAAGGGUUGCGAUGCCGUGAGGUGGAGCGAAUCCCAGAAAGCCGAUCUCAGUUCGGAUCGUAGUCUGCAACUCGAGUACGUGAAGUCGGAGUCGCUAGUAAUCGCA